rnacentral:ncRNA from 1 species
CUCAAGUCUUGGGAGCAUAAGUAGUAUAGAGGACGCAUCCUAACGAUAUGGAUGCACCCCAUUGAAUAUUACAAGUUCUAAUAUUCAUGUACUAUCCCUUGUUGGUCUCGAGGGACGGAGGAGGCUAGGUUAGCCGAAAGAUGAUUAUUGGUUCAAGGACGCAAGGUGACCCUGCCUUUUUUAGGGUAAGAAGGGGUAGAGAAAAUGCCUCGAGCUAAUGUCUGAGUACUAAGCGCUACAACGCUGAAGUAACCCAUGCCAUACUCCCAGGAAAAGCUCGAACGACCUUUAACAAAUGGGUAUCUGUACCCGAAACCGACACAGGGAGGUAGGUAGAGAAUACCUAG